CUGCAUUGGCAGGCGGAUUCUUAACCACUGCCCCACCAGGAAAGUCCAGUUUUGCAUAACAUUCAAUUACUUAGUAUUUCUAUAUACAUCUAGACUUUCAUCUCAUUUUUUGUGUGAUUACCCACAUAAACUUCUAGUAGAAAAUACCAUGGGUUUUUUUCUGUAGUCUUUAACUUGAAUCAACUCUUUCAGACUCUUUAUGUAAAGUAUACUCAUCUAUCUUUGAAUCUACUAUAAUUCUUGUUUUUCCAAGUGCCUGUUUACUGAGGCUAUAGUGUUCCAAAUUUUUCAGUUCAGUUCAGUUAAGACUCUUAGAUGUCCAGCCCUGCGGGGGAAUAUAAAGACCAAUAUAAAGCACAGUCCCAGUCCUCAUCUUAAAAGAACUCAUGGAACCUCAGACAUUGCAGCCAGACUUUCUUGGGGUCUCUUAUUACAAGAAGGAUAGAUCCAAUAGAAGGCCUAACAAUUCAUGACAAAGCUGUUCUGGGACCAAGCUGCCAUAUGCCUGCCUCCCUUUCUAAAACAAGACUCUCUUUUGCACGUCUUGACAUACCAGUUACAGUGCCCCACUCUAUGUUGGAGUGAAGACAAGAGGCUUAUUACUUAGAUAAUCUUGACAGAUGUGUCUCCAGAUAAUAUCAUCUGUAAAAUAUUUACUAAAAUAAGAAACUCAAUCCACUCUGAAAGUACACUUUUCCUAAUGAAUAAUAUACAUUUUUAAAUUUUGGUUAUCUAUCUCCUUCUGAAAACCUCUGGAUUGUGAACCCAUGACUUUUGAGGAACUGUUUAAUUAAAGGCUUAAGUUAUUUUAAUUUAAACCCAUUGUCAGUGUUAUGAACUGUAGUUGUAGUGAGCUCUAGAAGGGACGACCUUAUUUUGCUCCUUGCAGCUCCUUGCUCCCCAGUGUCUAGAAUAGUAUUUGGCACACAGUAGAUGUCAAUAAAUAUUUUCUGACUGAAUUAAUUAAACGUAUAUAUACUACAUGUUUCCAUAGGGUAAUGUUUCUAUUAGCACAUUAAAAAGAACAUUUUAUUUCUCAUCUCAAGCUAAUUUCCGGCAAGUGUGAAUGACUAAGAACACAUAAUAGCAGUUUAAACAUUUCCUAUCUUAUUCCUUGCCAACCUGUAGUUACAGUAUUUUUUGCUUCACUAUUCUUUUAACCAGUUAUCAGUUUUGAAUCAUCUUAUCAGCAAAGCCGUAUACAGAAUUAAACAGUGUAACAUAUAUAACCAUGCCAACUACACCGAGCUAGUUAAAUCACACGCGUGCCCAAAACUUAGCAAACUAGAAAUAUUGUGCCCUCGAAUAUGAUGCUAGCAAGGGAACCAGGCCAGACACAUCAUCCCCAAAACUAAGAUGACAGACUAAAACAACUAAGUUGGUUUUUUCUGCAGUAAAGAGAGGAUGUGUGCCACCAAAAACAAAACACUCAUUCAUAAGGCUUUUUUCUUAUUUGGGUCAUUAUUUUCCGUUGCUAACCUUAACGUUACUAAUCUUGAAGUAUUUUGCACUUUUCCAUUAUACAUAAUCUUUUGACGUACUAUUAGGAAAUUUUUUUUUUAAAUCUUUCUUCCCUGCAACUUAGUACACAAAUCUAUAAGUAAUUACUAGAAAUUUCUGGAGUGUAAUUUCUUUACUAAGUGUAGGGGUUUCACAGAAAGGAUGGAAGAGUAAAAUUUAUGUCAGUAUGAGAUAAUAGGCCAUACUAUGCCAUAACAUGCCUCCAACCCUGGCACACACACACACAAUCUUUCAGGUAUGGUUUUUUCUUUCUUUUUUAAAAAAGACCUCCCUGGUCUGAUGAAAAGUAAAUCUUCCUCCCACACCCAAACCCCACUCACCCAGUUUCCUCUCUACAGGUGACACAUAUCUUUGCUGAAAAUUCCAUGAAUAUAGAUAUAUGAGUAUUAUAUAUCUUUCUGCAAAUGGAAACUAGAUACUGCAUAUAAAGUGGAAAUAUAUUUUUCCACUUUAUACAUUGUCUUACUCCUUGCUUUUUUCCAACUUAUAUAUAUUUGACAAUCCUUCCUUCUUAGUUUAUAAACUGCUGUCUCAUUCUUUUUAAAGGCUGCACGGUAUUUCACUGUAUGAACCAUACUUUAUACCCAUUACCUGUUGAUGAACUUUGAGUUUACUUCCAAUUUUUCGCUGUUAUGAUGAUACACUGUCUCACUUGAAUGUGAGUUCCUUGAGAAUAAGGAUUUUUGUCAUGAGUAAAUGUUUUAAUUCUGAAAACUUAGUAUAGUAUUCAACAAACGUUUAACGGAUGUUUUUGAAUGAAUGAAUGGUACUUUUUAAAAUGCUGCUCAACUGCUUCCACUCAAUGUUUUUUAACCCUACUAUGUGCAGAGUACUUUGUACUCGUUGAUCUAAUGAUUCCCUUUCUAGAUAUUUAUCCUAAUAUUUUAAAGACGUGUAUAUAAGAGAAAUUCCUACAAGAGGACUCACUAAGUCAAAGUAAUAUGUGUAGGGGACUUCCCUGGUGGUCCAGUGGCUAAGACUCUGCACUCCCAAUGCAGGUUCGAUCCCUGGUCAGGGAGCUA